rnacentral:misc_RNA from 1 species
AAGUCGUAACAAGGUCUCCGUAGGUGAACCUGCGGAAGGAUCAUUAACAAAAAGAGCGUCUGGUUUCUUCUCAGACGUUCUAUAGGUAGCACGCGGACUGGCUCUGCUUCAUCCAGUUUCCGCGUGUCCUACAAACCACUACGUGCACCGUAUAUAUGCAUUUGCGUAUCUUUCAAUUUGUCUGUUUGAUGUUUACAUUCUCUGAUUUUGGCCUUUGUUGCCAAAUGACUGAAAAUAAAAACAACUUUUAACAAUGGAUCUCUUGGCUCUC